rnacentral:rRNA from 1 species
CAGUAGCCGCGGUAAUGCGUAGGUGGCAAGCGUCGUCCGGAAUUAUUGGGCGUAAAGGGCUCGCAGGCGGUUUCUUAAGUCUGAUGUGAAAGCCCCCGGCUCAACCGGGGAGGGUCAUUGGAAACUGGGAAACUUGAGUGCAGAAGAGGAGAGUGGAAUUCCACGUGUAGCGGUGAAAUGCGUAGAGAUGUGGAGGAACACCAGUGGCGAAGGCGGCUCUCUGGUCUGUAACUGACGCUGAGGCUCGAAAGCGUGGGGAGCAAACAGGAUUAGAUACCCCGGUAGUCCCUGUCUCUUAUAC